rnacentral:rRNA from 1 species
CUAGGGAAGAUAAUGACGGUACCUAACGAAUAAGCAUCGGCUAACUCCGUGCCAGCAGCCGCGGUAAGACGGAGGAUGCAAGCGUUAUCCGGAAUCAUUGGGCGUAAAGCGUACGUAGGCUGUUAGAUAAGUCUGUUGUCAAAGCUCGAGGCUCAACCUUGUAAAGGCAAUGGAAACUGUUAGACUAGAGAGAGAUAGGGGCAGGGGGAAUUCCAGGUGUAGCGGUGAAAUGCGUAGAUAUUUG